rnacentral:rRNA from 1 species
CCUACGGGAGGCAGCAGUAGGGAAUAUUGCACAAUGGGGGAAACCCUGAAGCAGCAACGCCGCGUGGAGGAUGAAGGUUUUCGGAUUGUAAACUCCUUUUGUUAGAGAAGAAAAUGACGGUAUCUAACGAAUAAGCACCGGCUAACUCCGUGCCAGCAGCCGCGGUAAUACGGAGGGGGCAAGCGUUACUCGGAAUCACUGGGCGUAAAGGGCGCGUAGGCGGGAUAGCAAGUCAGAUGUGAAAUCCUAUGGCUUAACCAGAGAACUGCAUUUGAAACUGUUAUUCUAGAGUAUGGGAGAGGUAGGUGGAAUUCUUGGUGUAGGGGUAAAAUCCGUAGAGAUCAAGAGGAAUACUCAUUGCGAAGGCGACCUGCUAGAACAUAACUGACGCUGAUGCGCGAAAGCGUGGGGAGCAAACAGGAUUAGAUACCCGAGUAGUC